AUCGCGAAAAAUCUGUCACAGUGGAACCCUGGCCGUAAAAUUUGAAUCAAACUCCUCCCAAAGUAACGAUUUUCGGCCAGAUCUUGUACAUCUUCGUUAGCUUCGCGGGAUCUUCGUGAGAUAUUGUUCAUCGUCGUCGGACCUUCGGCAGCCAUUGGAUCUUCGUCAUCGUCAUCUGAUCGUCGUUGGAUCUUUGUCGGAACUUCGUCUUCUUCGUAUGAGUUUCGUCAAAUCUGAUUGUUCUUCGUCGGAUCUGAAUCGUCUUCGUCAGAUCUGAACUUUCUUCGUCGGUUCGUCAUCAUCUUCGUCGGACUUUAAUCGGUAUCAGAAGCAUCUGUUAGUAGAAAUCACAGUACUAUGAUUGUUCCUACUGGAAGUUCUCGGGACGAAGGGUGGACAACAUUCAGAAACAUUUUGGCAGAAAUUAAUGAAGCAUCGCGGCUUUUCAUAUUGCCCAAUCAGGCGUACUUGCAGAGCAUGCAUAAACCCCUUGUCUGUUUUUACACAUACAAUUGUUGCAUUUAUCAGAUGUCUUACUUAUCCCUUUUUUGGUUCUAUUGUAUGUGUGUGUGAAAAUAGCAAAGUUCUGAACCUUUAGAGCGUCUUGUUGGGCUUUCAGAUGAUGUUGGGGCUGGCUUCAUUUCUGGCCAUAGUAGCCAACCUGCCUCUGCUUCUGAACUGAAUGUUGACAGGUCGGUUGACUUGCCGGCACAAGAUGAAAUAGGUAACAUGGGGGUUUCAAAAGUAAUCAGAGCCGAUCAGAGGAGAUUCUUCUUUGAUUUAGGGAGCAACAACAGGGGUCACUUCCUGAGGAUAUCUGAGGUGAAAAACGGAGGAUAUUUAUGAUUAUUUAUCUAAAUUGCUUCAAAAUUAUUUGGAGAUGGCUGUUGCCCAGACAAUCAGACUGCUGCCCAGACAAAGUUAAAUUAUGAUUUGCAUUUAUUUGAAUUUCAGACAGUCAGACUGCUGCCCAGCGAAUUUUUGUAAAAAAAAUUGAAAGAAAAAAAAAAUCAGAGUUAUUUGGAGUUA